AAUCUUGUUUUGUGGCACAAUCUAAAAUUGCAUUUUUAUAAAAUGCCUGGCUCUCAUAUAAGAAGAGAAAAUGCCAAUUUUCAUAAUCCAAAAAGUAUAUGGGUGCUUUAUAUCCCCAAAUUAUGUAGCAUUUCCAUGCAACGAGGCCCAAAGUAGCUAACAAUAAGUAAGAUUCCACUAUACAUGAAAAAAUCCUAUUAAAUAUAAAAUACAAUAUAAAACAAGCCAAGUAGGUAUAUUUUAUAGUUAGGGGCAUUUGUGCUGCAGUGGUGAGAGAUGAUUCACCUGCCAAAAUUCUGCCCUACAUAACUAUUAACAUUACAGAACAUGGUAAUGUGGUCCCAUAAGUGUGGACCUGCUCACAUUCUUGCUGUAACCAGGUCUGAAUUCCUCAGGAAUUGGUGCAGCUGAUACACUAGCCUAAGCUGGGCAAAGGUACUCUUCACCACUGCUGUCACCUGGUCAUCUAGAUGUAAGGGUGAAACUAUGGACCUGACUUUUCAAAGCAAGUACAACCCAUCCCAAACACGUUGAAUCCCCAUUCCGGAAUAUGUCUCGUGAGUUUAUCUGUCUUCUCUGGAUUGAGCCUCAGUUUGUUUGCCCUCAUGUAGCCCAUUACCAUUUAACCCAGAGGUGGUGAACCUGGAGGCCUCAGCCCCGAUCAGCAUCCAACAACCUCUGGAGGGCCACAGGUUCCCCACCCUUUACUUUAGUCAUACAACAACAUACAUAUCCUUUUCCUGGGAAUAUAUACUUGCCUUCCAGACAGCUAAGUGGGUUCAGACUGUUCAUUUUCUUGUUAUGGCUGUGCCCCCCUUAAACCAACCAAGAAGCAAGUCCCUUAGCAUUUUUUAAAGCUCUGCCUUAACAACCUGCUCUUUGCCCUUAGCAAAGCCCCAAGUCUGCUAGAAGGUUAACAGCAGUUGAAUUCUGCUGAUUUGAGAACAGAGCCUUGGUGAGCAAAGACAAUGUCACAUUAUGCCAGAAAGGACAUCUCCCACUGAACCCUUUGGGAUUUGGCCUUAGGGAUCUUGAGCAGGGAUCUGAUUUGACUUAAGUGCCAGAGAUCUCCCCUACCCUUCUUCCCUCUUGCAGAGCACCUCUCCUCUGCAUCUCUCACAGACUCUGACACCCCUGGAAUGGGUGAAUCACAGUAUGUGCAGCAUAGACAACACAAAGGUUCUCCAGUCAGAACAUAUUUCAGUGGGGGCGGGGCAUUAUAUGAGGCAUAGCCGUACCUAUUGGCAGGAAGGUAAUACUGGCUUGAUUUUAAAUUAUCAGAACUAAAGGAGAAGCAGCAGUGGAGCAGGCACUUUCCCCCUCAGUUCUAAGAAUCCCCACCCCCACCCCACAUAAAUUUACUCUCCUCUAAAAGGCACUUUGAGGCCAUCCUACGCAGUAUGUUAACUAGACUCCUCUAAAUUGUGCCUUCUCUUAGGUACAUGUGCAAGCUCCUCACAUAGCCUGCAGUGCCUUUGUGACUCAGGAAUGCCAAACCUGGCAAAGUAGAUGCAUUCUAAAGACAGCCGCAUGUAUUAGGAAGCUGCCUGUCAAAGACUAUUUAACCCAGUGUUAUCUGCCCAGGAUGACAGUGGCUGUCCAGGGUCUUUCACAUCACUUGCUUUCUGGUUCCUUUUUAUCUGAAGGUGUCUGGGACUGAACCUGGGACCUGCAUUCAAAGUGUGUGCUGUAUAAUUAGCUGUGGUUCCUCCCCAGCACAUCUACCUGUGUGUGCCCCAUUCAAUUAUAAAAGCAAGGUGCCCCCCCGCCUCAUUCCACAUAGAAAAUGUAGACCCUUACUGUCACUUCCCUCUCUAGAGUCUGUUGCUUCAAACACUGUUCCCCCAAGCUUGGCUCACCUCCUGGGUGAUAAGUGGAUAAUUUUCCCACCAGUUCUUGCUAGUUACCUGCAUAUUAUUUGAGGGGUGUUGAUGCCUUGGGGCAAGUCAUUCUGAUUUCAAGGAUUAGAAGUAUUAUUCCAGAGCUUCCCAAUCCAUAUGAUCCACGUGCAAGAGCAGGAGCUUCACUCCGUGCUGGUCUGUGCCCACUGGCGGAGGAAGAGGGGUGUGGUUUGCCCUGGGUGUCAUCCCUGGGGGGUGGUGACAUCACCGUGGUGCCCCCUAGGAUGCUCACCGUGCCGCCGCCGUGGGAUGCUCGCUGUGGGCAGCGGCACCCCCAUGUUUGCUGCCCCACCCCCAUGGAACGCUCGCCCCACCCCCAUGGGAUGCUCACCCCGCCCACUUGGGGUGCUCGCUCCACCCCGCAUGCCAGAGCAGCUAGCUCUGUCUGUGUCUCACCUCAAGUAGCAGGGGCAAGACUAGUAUGAGCUGUGCAGUCCACAAGGCUCACUUUCCAUGGUAUGUGUGAAGGUGUCCCAGAAGUAAAAGCAUCUGACUUCCCACACUCAGUUGGAAGCAUAGAAAAUGGAUAUUUCAUAGGGGCUUGGGAGGUUAUCAAACCCCUUACUCAGUGUAGGAUUUGUCAUGCAGGAUGCACAGUUUGCCUGACAGAUGACCACCCAGCUUCUGCUUAAAUGUCUCCAGUGAAGGAGAGCUCACCUCAUCCUGAGGUUGCCUGUUCUGCAGGUUUUACCAAAAGGAUGUUUCUCUGCUUCCACCCAAGCCCUGCCCUCUGAAGCAAUGGAGAACAAGUCCAGUCCAUCUUCUGCAUGACAGUCCUUCUGAUAUUUGAAGACAGCUAUCAGGCCUCUCUUUAAUUUUCUGUUCUCCAGCUUGAGUGAGACAAUUUCAUAUUUCCUAGUACAGUUAAGCAGCACUGGAAAGU